rnacentral:tRNA from 1 species
AAGUCAUUGUUUUAACCUUUUAGACAAAACGGACUCAUAAUCCGUUGGUCCACAGUUCGAGUCUGUGUGGGCCCACCA